rnacentral:rRNA from 1 species
AGCGAACGCUGGCGGCAGGCUUAACACAUGCAAGUCGAACGCCCCGCAAGGGGAGUGGCAGACGGGUGAGUAACACGUGGGAACGUACCCUUUGGUUCGGAAUAACUUGGGGAAACUCAAGCUAAUACCGGAUAAGCCCUUAUGGGGAAAGGUUUACUGCCGAAGGAUCGGCCCGCGUCUGAUUAGCUAGUUGGUGAGGUAAUGGCUCACCAAGGCGACGAUCAGUAGCUGGUCUGAGAGGAUGAUCAGCCACACUGGGACUGAGACACGGCCCAGACUCCUACGGGAGGCAGCAGUGGGGAAUAUUGGACAAUGGGGGCAACUCUGAUCCAGCCAUGCCGCGUGAGUGAUGAAGGCCUUAGGGUUGUAAAGCUCUUUUACCCGGGACGAUAAUGACUGUACCGGGAGAAUAAGCCCCGGCUAACUUCGUGACAGCCGCCGCCGCAG